GACGAACGCUGGCGGCGUGCUUAACACAUGCAAGUGGAGCGACGAACCAGGGCUUGCCCUGGGGCAGAGCCGCGAACGGGUGAGUAACACGUGGGUAACGUACCCCGAUGACUGGGACAACCCGGGGAAACCCGGGCUAAUACCGGAUGUGCACCCUCACAUCAGUGAGGUGUGUAAAGGAAGCUUCGGCCUCCGCGUUGGGAUCGGCCCGCGGCGCAUUAGCUUGUUGGUGAGGUAACGGCCUCACCAAGGCCGCGAUGCGUAGCUGGUCUGAGAGGACGAUCAGCCACACUGGGACUGAGACACGGCCCAGACUCCGUACGGGAGGCAGCAGGUGGGGAAUCUUGCGCAAUGGGCGAAAGCCUGACGCAGCGACGCCGCGUGAGGGAUGACGG
rnacentral:rRNA from 1 species